rnacentral:pre_miRNA from 1 species
GCCCUUUGGGAUCUCUCUCCCUCAAAGGCUCUCAUACCCAGAUGUGAAAUCUGAGUUGAAGCCUUGAGGGUCAGAGAUCCUAGAGGCCU